AAAUCGGUACUUCUGCUUGAAAGACACAUUUUUUGACAAGAAUGCCGACAUUAUUUUCAUCUACAUAACACCAACCAGAACAUACAAGCAGAGUCCUUCUAUAUGUGAUGUGUGUUACGGUUUCCAGUUAAAACCCAGUCUCUACGUUAGUGAUAAUGUACAAAUGAACAAAUAUGACACCAUGAAAC